GGAGUUUUGUCUGCAUCUCGUCCUGCUACAUUUCUUGGUUCCCUGACCGGGAAUCGAGGUGGUUAAUGGAUGGUCGAGGCAGCCCCUUAGGCAGUUUAUGCCUGCCCUGUAGAACAUCCCUGCGGGGACCUCUGGCCAGCUUGAGCCACGCGGAUCCUGAGAGCGCUCCCGGGUAGGCAUUUGCCCUGGUGGAACGUCUCGUCAGAGCACUGCACAGCAGGCCCUCGCGGAGGAUCCACACAGGGGCUGAACACCGGGAAGGAACUGGCACUUUAAGUCUGGACAUCUGAAACUUGGUAAGACUGGUCUUGGGAACUUGCCCACUGCAUUUGAGUGGAAGCGUGGCCUGAUCACUCACAGCGUGCCUGUACCUGCACUUUGGUUUUUGUUUUUGACUUGACUUGAAUUAAUUGCUUGAUACUUUGGUUUUAGUUUCGAUUUUGACUUGACUUGAAUUGCUUGAUAAACAGGUGUGCCUUUAUUGACACUUUGGUUUUGGUUCUGAUUUUGACUUGGCUUAAAUUGCUUGACAAACAGGUGUGCCUUUAACAGCACUUUGGUUUUAGUUUUGAUUCUGAUUUAGUGUAAGUUAGAUGAGUGAGUGAUCUUUUAGCCUCUCCUUCUUGUAGUGUGAAUGUUGUUUUGUCUCGAGAGAAAAAUAGGUCAGACACAAAGUAAGCCCACUCCUCUAGGAAGUGUGUUUAAAAAAGUUUCAAAAAGAAAAAUAAAAGGAAAGUCAUCAAAUCAUCAAGACUUACUCUAUUAAAAUGCAUGUUACAGAGCCUUAAGAAAGGUUUUGCAAGAGAUUAUAGAGUUAAGUUAACCCCUUAGAGGUUAAGAUCUCUGUGUGAAUUAGAACUGCCCUCUUUUGGUGUUGGAUGGCCCACCGAAGGAACUAUAGACCGAGAACAAUUAGCCAUGUAUUUAAGGUGGUGACAGGUCGGGGGACAGCCAGUGUACCUAGAUCAAUUCCUUUAUAUUGACUUGUGGUUAAAUAUAAUAUAGACAAAACCGGCAUAAAUUUAGCCCUGUUUAACAGCUUAUUGCAAAAAAGCCAAAAGGAAAAGUAAGAGCAGCUUUGCCAGCAAACACAGAGUUAAAAAAGGAGUCCCAGAAACAGCAAGAGAAGCCAGUUUUGCAGGAGCUGCCAGAGAGAACAAAAAUUCUUUCUCCAUAUGUCCCAGCCUACCCCGCUUUACCGAGGCCAACAGCCCUCUCAGAAACAAGAUUCAGGAGCUAACACAACCCCAGGUCUCCCCUCGAAGGGGAGGAUCAGAGCCUCGAGAGGCCAAGGAAGGAAGUCAAGAUAGUCAAGUGGGCCGUCUAGGAUCUGGUCUUGCUCGAGCUAUGCAAAUGCCUCUCAGGGAGACACAAGGACCUGUCUAUUAUAAUGACCAGGCCUACAUCCAUGGGGGCAACAGACUUUCAUCUAUCAGCCCUUUUCAACCAUUGAUCUACUAAACUGGAAACACCCUGAACCCGCCGCCUUGCUCCCGGCAGCUAGAGCCCUGUGGACAUGACUGUGUAGAGGUGUUGGACUCCAGUUUACUCCAGCAGACCUGACCUCCGGGACCAGCCUUGGGCAUCAGUAGACCAGGAGCUAUAUGUGGGCGGGAACAGCUUCAUGAACCCACAAGGAGAGAGAUGUGCAGAGUGUGCGGUGGUAACCCUGGACACUGUCGUUAAGCUGAGCUCAUUGCUUUAAUUCGGGCCUUAGAACUCAGUGAAGGUAGGACUGUAAACACUGACACUGACUCUCAGUAUGCCUGUUUCACCCUCCAAGUGCAUGGAGAAUUAUAUAAAGAAAAGAGCCUGUUAAACUCUAGGAAAAGGGGAAAAAAACACCCAGAGAAUGCAACUCAGCUUCAGUGUUUGCAGAGGUACUGAGAAGCACUUCUGCAGAGGCUGAGAGUUGGUAGAAAAAAGCAAGUAAUAUAAGAAAAGAUUUCAGGAAUGCUUCAAGGAGCUGACAAGAGCCUGAGUCAGUUUUAAAAGAGCUUCUAUAAAGAAUUCUGGUUUUACACCCCAUUUAACCCUGAGGCUGCUGAAAAUCAGUAUAUAGUAAAUACCUUAUUUGCAAAGCAAGCAUGAAUACCACCUAGCCUAUAAAAGUGGCCACCAAGGUGUAUGUUAACUGUGACCAAGGAACAAAACUAAGGAAGAGCAAAAGAAAAAGAAAGAGUAACUAUAAAAAAAAAAAAAAAA
rnacentral:lncRNA from 1 species